rnacentral:rRNA from 1 species
UACAGAGGGGGCAAGCGUUAUUCGGAAUUAUUGGGCGUAAAGGGCGCGUAGGCGGCCAUUCAAGUGACGGGUGAAAGCCCUCGGCUUAACCGAGGAACUGCCUGUCAGACUGGAUGGCUUGAGACCGGGAGAGGUGAGUGGAACUGCGAGUGUAGAGGUGAAAUUCGUAGAUAUUCGCAAGAACACCAGUGGCGAAGGCGGCUCACUGGCCCGGUACUGACGCUGAGGCACGAAAGCGUGGGGAGCAAACAGG